UACGUAGGUGGCAAGCGUUGUCCGGAAUUAUUGGGCGUAAAGCGCGCGCAGGCGGCCUUUUAAGUCUGAUGUGAAAGCCCACGGCUCAACCGUGGAAGGUCAUUGGAAACUGGAAGGCUUGAGUACAGAAGAGGAAAGCGGAAUUCCACGUGUAGCGGUGAAAUGCGUAGAGAUGUGGAGGAACACCAGUGGCGAAGGCGGCUUUCUGGUCUGUAACUGACGCUGAGGCGCGAAAGCAUGGGGAGCAAACAGG
rnacentral:rRNA from 1 species